UACAGAGGUCUCAAGCGUUGUUCGGAUUCAUUGGGCGUAAAGGGUGCGUAGGCGGCGCGGUAAGUCGGGUGUGAAAUCUCGGAGCUUAACUCCGAACUGCAUUCGAUACUGCCGUGCUUGAGGACUGGAGAGGAGACUGGAAUUUACGGUGUAGCAGUGAAAUGCGUAGAGAUCGUAAGGAAGACCAGUGGCGAAGGCGGGUCUCUGGACAGUUCCUGACACUGAGGCACGAAGGCCAGGGGAGCAAACGGG
rnacentral:rRNA from 1 species